rnacentral:rRNA from 1 species
UACAGAGGGUGCAAGCGUUAAUCGGAGUUACUGGGCGUAAAGGGCGCGUAGGCGGUUUAAUAAGAUUGAUGUGAAAUCCCUGGGCUUAACCUAGGAACUGCAUCGAUGACUGUUAAGCUAGAGUAUUGUAGAGGGUAGUGGAAUUUCCGGUGUAGCGGUGAAAUGCGUAGAGAUCGGAAGGAACACCAGUGGCGAAGGCGGCUACCUGGACAAAUACUGACGCUGAGGCGCGAAAGCGUGGGGA